CUAAGUGCAUGAGUUUAUUCCCUGAAGUUCCUAAGGGCUGAAAUUCGAGGUCAAAUGUUACUUUGCUCUUUUUUUUGGACAAACCGUUCCCUCCUUGUGUAACAGCUGUAGAAGGAGCCUCAGAGAGCCCCAAAGUCAAAAGACGUUCCAGCUUUGUGGAAUUGUUAGAAGACGGAUCCCAAUCCAGACCCCGAGAGAGUUCUUGGAUCUCUUUCAAGAAGGAAUUCAGGGCAAGUCCACAGUGCAAAGUGAAAGCAAGUUUAUUAAGAAGGUAAAGGAAUAAA
rnacentral:lncRNA from 1 species